rnacentral:lncRNA from 1 species
UCUUUCUGGGUUAUGAUGCUGACCUCUGGGACAUUGUCACAGAUGGAUAUACACCUCCAGUCUUAAAUGGAGCUGAAGUUCCCAGAAGUAAGAUGUCAGAAGAUCAUAAACGUGUCUUCAAAAAUCAUCACAAGGCCAGAACAAUACUUCUAAAUGCUAUAUCAUACAACGAAUAUGAAAAGAUCACCAACAGAGAGACAGCCAAAGAUAUACUU